GGGAUACACCCGGUCCCAUCCCGAACCCGGAAGUUAAGCCCUCCUGCGCCGAUGGUACUGCCUGGGCGACUAGGUGGGAGAGUAGGUCGCCGCCGAGA
rnacentral:rRNA from 1 species